CUCGUGUCAAAGCAUAAUAAUUACAGAACAUGAAAGAACAAAGAGAAAGUCAUUAUGAAUUAUUUAUUAAGUCCUCUACAAUAAAUUGGGCUUGUGUAUACAGUACUGGGUAAAAGAUUAUGAGAUCAAAACGUAUUCUUUGCAAUUGGAAAGUAGAGUACUUAAGAGAAUGGCAGAGGAGCUGCAAUCUUUCAGAGCUUGAUGACCCAUCUAAACAAUUCAUGGGAAAAGUAUUCUCCUGCUCCACUGAGGCAGGAUGUUGUCA